AACAGGUUGAUAUUCCUGUACCACCUCUUUAUCGUUUGAGCAAUGGAGGGACGCAGAAGGAUAGAAGAAGCGUGCGAUUGGUUGUGCACGUCCAAGCAAUUAGGCUGAUAAGUAGGCAAAUCCGCUUAUCGUGAAGGCUGAGUUGUGAUGGGGAAGCUCCUUAUGGAGCGAAGUCUUUGAUUCCCCGCUGCCAAGAAAAGCUUCUAGCGAGAUAAAAGGUGCCUGUACCGCAAACCGACAC
rnacentral:rRNA from 1 species